rnacentral:rRNA from 1 species
UACGUAGGGGGCGAGCGUUAUCCGGAAUUACUGGGCGUAAAGCGCACGCAGGCGGUUCGCCAAGUUUGGCGUGACAGUUGUCGGCUCAACCGACAAAGGACUUCAAAAACUGGUGAACUUGAGGACGAGAGAGGAACAUGGAACUCCAGGUGUAGUAGUGAAAUGCGUAGAUAUCUGGAAGAACACCAAUGGCGAAGGCAAUGUUCUGGCUCGUUUCUGACGCUCAGGUGCGAAAGCCAGGGGAGCGAACGGG